AGCAAUUUGGCGCAGUGGAAGCGCGGUUAGUACCAGCCCGAUAAUUGAUCUCAAACAUCCAAACCCCAUCAAAACUAACAAUGUAAUAGCCGGGCUCAUAACCCGGAGGUCGCACGAUCGAAACGUGCAAUUGCUA